rnacentral:rRNA from 1 species
UACGGGGGGUGCGAGCGUUGUCCGAAAUCACUGGGCGUAAAGGGCGCGUAGGCGGUCAGCACAAGUCAGUUGUGAAAUCUCCGAGCUUAACUCGGAAAGGUCAACUGAUACUGUGCGACUAGAGUGCGGAAGGGGCAACUGGAAUUCUUGGUGUAGCGGUGAAAUGCGUAGAUAUCAAGAGGAACACCUGCGGCGAAGGCGGGUUGCUGGGCCGACACUGACGCUGAGGCGCGAAAGCCAGGGGAGCGAACGGG